CUUUUGUCCUCGCCCAUAUUGUGUGUCCUCUCUGCACAUGAUUUGAGUCAGAUUCCUUCCUGUCCCCAUCUAUUCUGCUCUCAGAUUUCCAGGGAAGAUCUGGUUCAAUCCAUGAAGCCACUUCUAUCUUGCAGCCUAUAAAAACUCUAUGACGAAUAAGGCCUGUAAUCAAGGGGACAUUGCAUCUUCCUGUCACUCUGAUUCCACAAAAGCAAGUUCCCUGCCCAUAUUGUUAAUCCUGACUCUAGGACUGCAAUCUAAACACCACGCCAAGAAACAAAGACGACACAGUACUCGGGACUCCGUGAUUUAAUGCUCACCAAACGGAACUGCGCUCUCCAAGUCCAGGCUGCUUUUCUCUCAGCACAUGCUCCUUUCCAGGAACAAACUGGGCUCUUAACUUAGA